rnacentral:lncRNA from 13 species
AAAAAACGGCAGAAAGCCAAUUCAAUUGAUGUGGAGCAGAAGACAAGAAAUAAGAAGGAGAGUAGCACUUCAUCUCCCUCGCCAAUUCCAACUGACCGUUCUGAACGGAAUGCCUCAGCCACCUCUGACCCCUCACCCUCUGACCAACUCUCCUCCCUCUAUCCACCUCUCUCUCCUGUUAACUGUUCCUCUCAGCCUUGCUCUCCUGCUAAACAGCCCUCUCUCCCCAGGUCACCUGCCAAACACCCUUCCCCAGUGAAAUUCUCUCCAGUGGUGUCCUGCCCUAGUUCUCCCUCUCCUACCAACCCUCUGGACAGUCAAGGAGACACCAGCCAAGAGGGCGCAACAUUCAGACCUCUGUCUCUUCAGGACCACUCUAUCCCAAGGCCCCAGAGGUCAGGCUCAGGUGCCAGAAGCCAGACUCUUCCCAGGGCCAGCUCAGCCACCAGAAGGUCAGAGGAGACCCAGGGGGCCAGAGGAGAACCGGGGGCCCUGGUCAACAUGGAACUUCUUGGGACGCACACGAGUUACUUGUGAAUAUGCUGUGCCAGCUGAAGGAGGAGGGCAUGAUACUGAAGACACUCGGGGUGAACUAUACCUGCCCUGUUUCCCAGCUGGAGUUCCAGCUUGUCUCAGUGCGCACAUGUACCAACUGUGGGCGUGAGUCGUCCACCAGAGAGGACUACAAUCACCUCUCAUUGGACUUCAGCUCUGAGCGCACCUUGCUAAGCAGCCUAGCACUCACUUUCAAAGGAGAAAAGUUGAAUUCACAUGUGCGGGCUGCAAGGGCCUCCACGCCUCAAAGGUGGAGCAGUUCCACACACUGCCUCUUGUGCUGGUUCUGCAUCUGAAGAGGUUUGGAGGACCUGGGGGGUUGGAGAAGCUGGAGGCUCCUCUUUUGUUUCCUUCAGAGCUGAGGCUCUCCAACUUCUGUGGGGACACGGUGCCACCCCUGCACAGUGCCAGCCCACAGGCCCUCACCAACCAGACCCACAAUAUCCAGGUGUCCAUCCCCCAGACCCUCGCCAGCCAAGUCCCCAACCCACUCGGAGAGGCCAAAGAUAGCGCCAUCUGCUGUUCAGGUAGGUCAUGGCAUCACAACUUUAUUCUUGUUCCAACACCACACAAGCCACCCACUCCCAAAACGGUCCUGCAGACAGAGAAGCUAGAAGCUGCAAAUUAAAAUGUUUCUCAGACAUCUUCAGUGAUGUACGGAAGCUGUUUUAGACCAGAGCAAUUCAGACAAGCGACCACGUUUUCACAGCUCUUUAUAUGUAUAUUUGACCCCUCAGAUUCAAAUUACCAGGAACUAGGGAAAGUGCUGUGGACAGCCUCAGUGGUGAGGAGAGAUAGAGAGUGAAACCAGUGAAAUAUAAGUUAUGACAGAACACUGAGAUAGUUAUGAGGAGUGCAUGAUAUAGUAGACCUGCAGUA